CGCUAUCACUCCUACGGGAGGCAGCAGGUAGGGAAUCUUCCACAAUGGGCGCAAGCCUGAUGGAGCAACACCGCGUGAGUGAAGAAGGGUUUCGGCUCGUAAAGCUCUGUUGUUAAAGAAGAACACGUAUGAGAGUAACUGUUCAUACGUUGACGGUAUUUAACCAGAAAGUCACGGCUAACUACGUGCCAGCAGCCGCGGUAAUACGUAGGUGGCAAGUGUUAUCCGGAUUUAUUGGGCGUAAAGAGAGUGCAGGCGGUUUUCUAAGUCUGAUGUGAAAGCCUUCGGCUUAACCGGAGAAGUGCAUCGGAAACUGGAUAACUUGAGUGCAGAAGAGGGUAGUGGAACUCCAUGUGUAGCGGUGGAAUGCGUAGAUAUAUGGAAGAACACCAGUGGCGAAGGCGGCUACCUGGUCUGCAACUGACGCUGAGACUCGAAAGCAUGGGUAGCGAACAGGAUUAGAUACCCUGGUAG
rnacentral:rRNA from 1 species